UACGUAGGGUGCAAGCGUUAAUCGGAAUUACUGGGCGUAAAGCGUGCGCAGGCGGUUAUGCAAGACAGAUGUGAAAUCCCCGGGCUCAACCUGGGAACUGCAUUUGUGACUGCAUGGCUGGAGUGCGGCAGAGGGGGAUGGAAUUCCGCGUGUAGCAGUGAAAUGCGUAGAUAUCUGGAGGAACACCGGUGGCGAAGGCGGCAUCCUGGACCGGCAUUGACGCUGAGGCGCGAAAGCCAGGGGAGCAAACGGG
rnacentral:rRNA from 1 species